rnacentral:lncRNA from 1 species
AGGUGGGCACUCCUGAGGCUGCAGAGCGGAGGAGACUACCAACACUGCCCACCCCUGCCCACAUCCCUGGCCCAAGAGGAAACUGUAUAAGGCCUCUGGGCUCCCGUGGGGGAGGGCCCAGGAGCAGCAGGACCCCUGCCUGAGAUACCACCGGAACCUGAGGGAAACAGACCGGAUAAACAGUUCUCUGCACCCAAAUCCCGUGGGAGGGAGAGCUGAACCUUCAGAGAGGCAGACACGCUUGGGAAACCAGAAGAGACUGCACUCUGCGCACAUCCAGACGCCAGAGGAAAACACCAAACGCCAUCUGGAACCCAGGUGCUCGGAGGCUCCCGGAAAGAACUGCGCAGAUCUUCCCGGUUGCAGCCGCCGCAGAGAGGACUUAGGCAGUACCCCACGAGCAAACUUGAGCCUUGGAACCACAGGUAGGACAAACUUUUCCCCUGCAAGAAACCUGCCUGGUGAACUCAAGUCACAGGCCCACAGGAACAGCUGAAGACCUGUAGAGAGGAAAAACUACACGCCCGAAAGCAGAACACUCUGUCCCCAUAACUGGCUGAAAGAAAACAGGAAAA